CUCCCCUACCCCUUCUAUCUCGCCUGAAAAUAAGCAAUUGAUGAGUAAUGUCAGCGCAUGGAUGCGCUGCAAGGCUGAUUUAGUCCAUGGAUGGACUAUUCAGCCGUUUACGUUCACAUCAAUUGCAUUAUUUGAAGAAACAGCGAGAUAGAGGGGCGCCAUGG
rfam:Pseudoalteromonas phenolica strain KCTC 12086 chromosome II, complete sequence.